AGUGGGGAAUUUUGGACAAUGGGCGCAAGCCUGAUCCAGCCAUGCCGCGUGUCUGAAGAAGGCCUUCGGGUUGUAAAGGACUUUUGUUAGGGAAGAAAAAGGAGCGGUUAAUACCCGUUUCUGCUGACGGUACCUAAAGAAUAAGCACCGGCUAACUACGUGCCAGCAGCCGCGGUAAUACGUAGGGUGCGAGCGUUAAUCGGAAUUACUGGGCGUAAAGCGAGCGCAGACGGUUACUUAAGCAGGAUGUGAAAUCCCCGGGCUCAACCUGGGAACUGCGUUCUGAACUGGGUAGCUAGAGUAUGUCAGAGGGGGGUAGAAUUCCACGUGUAGCAGUGAAAUGCGUAGAGAUGUGGAGGAAUACCGAUGGCGAAGGCAGCCCCCUGGGAUAAUACUGACGUUCAUGCUCGAAAGCGUGGGUAGCAAA
rnacentral:rRNA from 1 species